rnacentral:lncRNA from 1 species
AGACUUUGGAUCAUUACAAGAUUGCGGGUAAUGACAGACUAUAAUUAAGCUUAAAACAGAUUUUUCUUUUAGGAGAGAGAGAAGAGUCUGCUCCAGCCGCGACUCCAGAUUGCCUGGGCUAUAAUUUGCGGUGCUGUCACAAAGGGGUCCUUUUUCUGCAUGGUGCGCUGUGAUGAUGAGCAAGGAGCCCAACUUGAGGGGUGUGUGCCUCUCCCCGCGCCCUCUCUGGAGCGAGCGGAAUGGACGUCGGAAUAGCUGAGUCUAGCUUCAGACUGAUUACAGGCCAGAUCGCGCUAUUGUGCCUCAUCAGUGUCAUUGUCGAGGCUGCAGUUGCACGGGGAUGUUUCUCUUUGUCGCCCGCUCCACGCUCAUUUCUAGGAUAGGAGUGAAACGGUGAUGGCCUGGUGUUAGCCUUUCCUUGGCUUCCCAUGUAAACCAGUUCUUGCCCAAACGGGACAAAUGGAAGUCUACUGAAUGGGGCCUCUAGGAAAGCCAUCAUUAAGCCUUAGCAAAAGAAUACACUUGCCUUGGAAGAAGUUGGCUGCAGUCACAGGACAUGAAUUCUACCAAAAACCUGAGGAUGCUUGGAAGUGGAUCCUUACCCAGUUGAGCCUCCAGAUAAGACCACCACCCAGCCAUCACCUUGACUUCAUGCUUGAGAGACCUGGGCAGAGAAUUCUGCCAAGCCCUGCCUGGACUUCUGACCCACAAAAAGUGUGAGAUGAUAACACAUGUUGUGGGAAGCCAGUAAGUGUAUGGCCAUCUGUUAUGCAGCAUGGAAACCACACCCAUUUUUUAUGAUCCAGCCUGGAAAGUUACAGCACAACCUCUGCUGUGUUUCAUUUGGGUGCAAGUGAGCCAUAACCCCACCCAAAUUCAAAUAAUGGGACCAGAGGUAUUGUAGCAGCCAGAUUUGGAAAAUAGAGGCUGUGGCACCUGCAUUGUUUGAAUUGUAAUUCAUGGCUCAUACGUGAAACCGUAGCUUGCUUCCUCCAUCUACAUCAAUGUUAUUGACACUGUGUGUGUUCUCCAAUUGGUCCUCACGUGAGCUUCUACUGAGGCCCAUUCGAGCCCCCCCGGAGGAUGUCUGUCUCUUCCUUUAAGGAGACACACAACAGCGGGUGUCACAAUCCCUCCAUGUAUUAUAAAACAAGC